UUAAGUAAGUAAGGGCGUACGGUGGAUGCCUAGGCACUUGAAACUGAAGAAGGACGCAACAAACGGCGAAACGCGACGGGGAGUGGUACGUACACAAAGAUCCGUCGAUAUCCGAAUGGGGAAACCCGUCAUCUGUAAUAGGAUGGCAUCCAUGGAUGAAUCCAUAGUCCAUGAGAGAGGUACCCGGAGAACUGAAACAUCUAAGUACCCGGAGGAAAAGAAAACAAAAGUGAUUUCCUGAGUAGCGGCGAGCGAAAGGGAAGGAGCCCAAACCAUCUCUAGAGAUGGGGUUGUAGGACCACGACAUGGCAAGAGGAUUGUUAGGAGAACGGCAUUGAAAGGCCGACCGCAGGGGGUGCAAGUCCCGUAUCCGAAAACGAUGUGAAGCCUAGUGGGAUCCUGAGUACGGCGAGACACGAGAAAUCUUGUCGGAAGCAGGCGGGACCAUCCGUCAAGGCUAAAUAUAAACAAGUGACCGAUAGCGAACCAGUACCGUGAGGGAAAGGUGAAAAGAACCGCGGGAGCGGAGUGAAAGAGAACCUGAAACCGUAUGCCUACAAGAAGUCAGAGCCCGUUAAAGGGUGAUGGCGUGCCUUUUGUAGAAUGAACCGGCGAGUUAUGUUAUCGUGCGAGGUUAAGCAGGAGAUGCGGAGCCGAAGCGAAAGCGAGUCUUAAUAGGGCGAGAGUACGAUGACAUAGACCCGAAACCGUGUGAUCUAGCCAUGACCAGGUUGAAGUUCAGGUGAAACUGAAUGGAGGACCGAACCGACCCCCGUUGAAAAGUUGGCGGAUGAGUUGUGGCUAGGGGAGAAAUUCCAAUCGAACACGGAUAUAGCUGGUUCUCCCCGAAAUAGCUUUAGGGCUAGCGUCGAGGCUUAGUCAUGUGGAGGUAGAGCACUGAAUGUACGAUGGCCCCAUCCCGGGGUACUGAGUAUAAUCAAACUCCGAAUGCCAUAAGAUAUGCCCGGCAGUCAGACCGUGGGUGAUAAGGUCCAUGGUCAAAAGGGAAACAGCCCAGACCGCCAGUUAAGGUCCCAAAAUGCAUGCUGAGUGGAAAAGGAUGUGGGGAUGCACAGACAACUAGGAGGUUGGCUCAGAAGCAGCCACCCUUCAAAGAGUGCGUAACAGCUCACUAGUCGAGUGACCCUGCGCCGAAAAUGUACCGGGGCUAAGCAUGCUACCGAAGCUGCGGAUUUGUAGGAAUACAAGUGGUAGGGGAGCGUUCUAUGCAGCGUAGAAGCCAUAUCGUGAGGAGUGGUGGAGCGCAUAGAAGUGAGAAUGCCGGUGUGAGUAGCGAGAUGUAGGUGAGAAUCCUACACACCGAUAGCCCAAGGAUUCCAGGGGAAGGUUCGUCCGCCCUGGGUAAGUCGGGACCUAACGCGAGGCCGAAAGGCGUAGUGGAUGGAAAACAGGCAGAUAUUCCUGUACCCGCGAUGGAAAUGAAGGAAUGACGGAGAAGGUAAGUAUGACCCACUAAAUGGAUUGUGGGCGAAGCGUAUAGCAGGAUGGCAGUGAAAUGCGUCAUCAGGAUGUAAAGCGUGAAAGGUAAGGGAACGCCCAAGGGCAAGUACCGAAGCAUAUGUAGCCAGCUUCCAGGAAAAGUUUCUAGUAUAUUCCAUAGCGGCCCGUACCAAAACCGACACAGGUGGGCAAGGAGAGGAUCCUGAGGUGAGCGAGAGAACUGUUGCCAAGGAACUCGGCAAAAUGACUCCGUAAGUUAGCGAGAAGGAGUGCUUAUGAAAGUAAGCCGCAGUGAAGAGGCCCAAGCGACUGUUUAACUAAAACACAGCUCUCUGCAAAGUCGCAAGACGAAGUAUAGGGGGUGACGCCUGCCCGGUGCUGGAAGGUUAAGAGGAUUUGUCAGUAGCGAUACGAAGCAAUGAAUUGAAGCCCCAGUGAACGGCGGCCGUAACUAUAACGGUCCUAAGGUAGCGAAAUUCCUUGUCAGGUAAG
rnacentral:rRNA from 1 species